ACCAAAUUCUGGUGGCAGUGGAUUUGGCCUUGCAAUUUGCAAGAGGUUUGUAAAUCUAAUGGAGGGACAUAUUUGGAUUGAGAGUGAAGGUCUUGGUAAGGGAUCUACUGCUAUCUUCAUGGUAAAAAUCGGCAGCAUCCCAGAACGGUUGAAUGAAUCCAAACUUGUUUUCAUGCCUAAAGUACCACCAAAUCAUGGUCCAACAGCUUUUCCUGGGCUUAAAGUUUUGGUUAUGGAUGAGAAUGGGGUUAGCCGGAAGGUGACCAAGGGGCAUCUUG